GACGAACGCUGGCGGCGUGCCUAAUACAUGCAAGUAGAACGCUGAAGGAGGAGCUUGCUUCUCUGGAUGAGUUGCGAACGGGUGAGUAACGCGUAGGUAACCUGCCUGGUAGCGGGGGAUAACUAUUGGAAACGAUAGCUAAUACCGCAUAAUAGCAGUUGUUGCAUGACAACUGUUUGAAAGGUGCAAUUGCACCACUACCAGAUGGACCUGCGUUGUAUUAGCUAGUUGGUGGGGUAACGGCUCACCAAGGCGACGAUACAUAGCCGACCUGAGAGGGUGAUCGGCCACACUGGGACUGAGACACAGCCCAGACUCCUACGGGAGGCAGCAGUAGGGAAUCUUCGGCAAUGGACGGAAGUCUGACCGAGCAACGCCGCGUGAGUGAAGAAGGUUUUCGGAUCGUAAAGCUCUGUUGUAAGAGAAGAACGAGUGUGAGAGUGGAAAGUUCACACUGUGACGGUAUCUUACCAGAAAGGGACGGCUAACUACGUG
rnacentral:rRNA from 1 species